GGGCUCUUGGCGCAACGGUCAGCGCAGGGGACUCAUAAUCCCUGGGUUCUGGGUUCGAAUCCCGGAGGGCCCACCA
rnacentral:tRNA from 3 species